CCUACGGGAGGCAGCAGUGAGGAAUAUUGGUCAAUGGACGCGAGCCUGAACCAGCCAAGUAGCGUGAAUGAUGACUGCCCUAUGGUUUUUAAGUUUCUUUUAUAAAGGAAUAAAACGAAGCGCGUAUACCUUUUUGCAUUUACUUUAUGAAUAAAGAUCGGCUAACUUCGUUCCAGCAGCCGCGGUAAUACGGAGGGUCCGAGCGUUAUCCGGAUUUAUUGGGUUUAAAGGGAGCGUAGAGGGGUUGUUAAGUCAGUUGUGAAAUUCUGCGGCUCAACCGUAGAAUUGCAUGUGAUACUGGCAGUCUUGAGUACAGUAGAGGGAAGUAGAAUUCGAGGUGUAGCGGUGAAAUGCGUAGAGAUCAGGAGGAACACCGGUUGCGAAGGCAGCCUACUAAACUAAGACUGACGUUGAGGUGCGAAAGUGUGGGUAGCAAACAGGAUUAGAUACCCCUGUAGUC
rnacentral:rRNA from 1 species